CCUACGGUGUGCAGCAGUGGGGGAUAUUGCACAAUGGGGGGAACCCUGAUGCAGCGACGCCGCGUGGGUGAAGAAGCGCCUCGGCGCGUAAAGCCCUGUCAGCAGGGAAGAAAAUGACGGUACCUGAAGAAGAAGCCCCGGCUCACUACGUGCCAGCAGCCGCGGUACUACGUAGGGCGCAAGCGUUAUCCGGAUUUACUGGGUGUAAAGGGGGCGCAGACGGCGAUGCAAGCCAGGCGUGAGACCCCGGGGCCCAACCCCGGGACUGCACUUGGAACUGCGUGGCUGGAGUGCAGGAGGGGAAGGCGGAAUUCGUGGUGUAGCGGUGAAAUGCGUAGAUAUCAGGAGGAACACCGGUGGCGAAGGCGGCCUGCUGGAGUGCAACUGACGUUGAGGCCCGAAGGCGUGGGGAUCAAACAGGAUUAGAUACCCUUGUAGUC
rnacentral:rRNA from 1 species